CCUACGGGAGGCAGCAGUGAGGAAUAUUGCACAAUGGACGAAAGUCUGAAGCAGCCAAGCAGCGUGAAGGAUGACGGCCCUCUGGGUUGUAAGCUUCUUUUAUAUGGGAAUAAAAUGUUCCACGUGUGGGAUUUUGUAUGUACCAUAUGAAUACGGAACGGCUAACUCCGUGCCAGCAGCCGCGGUAAUACGGAGGAUCCGAGCGUUAUCCGGAUUUAUUGGGUUUAAAGGGAGCGUAGGUGGAGUGUUAAGUCAGUUGUGAAAGUUUGCGGCUCAACCGUAAAAUUGCAGUGGAAACUGGCAGUCUUGAGUACAGUAGAGGUAGGCGGAAUUCGUGGUGUAGCGGUGAAAUGCGUAGAUAUCACGAAGAACACCGAUGGCGAAGGCAGCUCACUGGACUGAAACUGACACUGAGGCUCGAAAGUGUGGGUAUCAAACAGGAUUAGAUACCCGUGUAGUC
rnacentral:rRNA from 1 species